AUUAGGGGGAAAAUUAGUAUAAUAAAAAUUUAAUAAAAAUAAUUUUAAAAAUAAAUAUUUUAAUGGGGGUUUAAGUAUUUUAUAAAGAAAAAAUUAUUUAAUUUAUAGUGAAUUAGUAUUGUGAAAGAAUUUUGAAAUAAUUGAAAAUAAAUUUUCAAAAAAGUAAAUUUUAUUUAUUGUAUCUCGUGUAUCAGAGUUUAUUAAUAAAAGGGUUUUAAAUUAAAAUAUUCUCGAAUUUAAAAGAGUUAAUUAAUUAAAAAAGUUAUUGUGGUAAAAAUAUUUUUCAUAAUUAAUUAGAAAUGAAAUGUUAAUCGUUUUUAAAUAUAUCUAGUUUUUUUAGAAAGAAAUUUAAUUUUGAAUUUAUUUAUAAAAAUAUUAAUUAGGAGAAUAUUUUUUAAUUUAAAUUUAAUAUUUUAAGGGAUAAGCUUUAAUUUAAAUAUAUUAUAAAAAAAAAUAUUUUAUAUUGAAAAUUAUAAAAUUUAUAUUGUUUAAAAAUUAUAAUUUUUUAUAAAUAAUUUCAAUUAAAAUAAAAUUUAAUAGGGAAAUUUAAUUUUUUAUAAAAAAAUAAAAUUUAAUUAAAAAAUUUUAGUUAUAAUGAUAAAAUUAGUAUAAAUAUAAAAUUAAUUAAUUUUUAAAUUUAUUUGAUAAUUAAUUAUAAGGAAUUCGGCAAAAAUUUAUAUUCACUUGUUUAUCAAAAACAUGUCUUUUUGAUUAAUAAUUUAAAGUCUAAUCUGCCCACUGAUGAAAAAUUAAAGGGCUGCAGUAUUUUGACUGUACAAAGGUAGCAUAAUCAUUAGUCUCUUAAUUGGUGACUUGUAUGAAAGAUUGGAUGAGAUAUAAACUGUCUUAUUUUUAUUUAUAAAAUUUAAUUUUUUAGUUAAAAAGCUAAAAUAAAUUUAAAAGACGAGAAGACCCUAUAGAGGUUAAUAUAAAAUGAUAAUUAAAAAUUUUUUUGUAAAUUUUAAAUUUAAAUUAAAUUUUAUAUUUUAUUGGGGUGAUAAAAAAAUAAGAAAAACUUUUUUUAAAUGAUAUAUAUAUAUAUAUAUAUAUAUAUAUAUAUACAUAAAUGAAUGAGUAGAUGAUCCAAAAUUUUUGAUUAUAAGAUUAAAUUACCUUAGGGAUAACAGCGUAAUUUUUUUUUUUAGUUCAAAUAAAAAGAAAAGUUUGCGACCUCGAUGUUGGAUUAAGAUAAAAUUUAAAUGCAAAAGUUUAAAAUUUUGAUCUGUUCGAUCAUUAAAAUCUUACAUGAUCUGAGUUCAAACCGGUGUAAGCCAGGUUGGUUUCUAUCUUUAGGAAAAUAAAAUAUUUUAGUACGAAAGGAUCAAAUAUUUAAAAUAAUUUUAUUUAGGUGAAUAUUAAUAAUUUAUAUUAAAUAAAAAAAAUAAUA
rnacentral:rRNA from 1 species